AAAAGAUAGUACUGCUUCUGCCUAGCUCACUCAAGAACCCAGCCCCCAUAGUGUGAGGAGGCCUAGGACAGUUACAGAAGCCAUGUGUAGGUGUUCUGGCUCCAGCAAAAGUCUUAUCUGACAACAUCAACUACAUGUUAGUGGCCUUUCCUUGAAAUUGCUGGAGCUUGUGCAUCAUCAAAAUAAUGGCAUAAACCAAGGAAGAAGAAAACAAAAUUGAGGAAAUGGGAUCCAACACAAAAGAGAGACAACAGGAUUAAUUGAGUGUUGGUGAAAAGCCACAGCCUGUAAAUAAUGCAGUUCGAACUGAAAUAGACCAGGAGGCUCAAGGAGAGACUUCUUCAAGAAGAUAAAAUUGAUAGAAUGCCUAAGGAGUUUGAGUGCAUUGAGAAUAGAUUCAUAUCAGUUCUGGAGAACUGGGUGGAUACAUUAAUGUUAAGUACAUAGAAAAGUUAAAAAUGAAAAAAAUUCUCAAUUCUAGGGAAAAUAAUCAUAGUAAACUACAUGUUUUAGUUACCAAUAGUGUUUACGUAGUCAAUAUAAACAAUGGGCAUUGAUAUAAAUAAUGUAUGUUGAUCUGCUAUAACAAGAAAUACAAACUACCAUCAGAGAAUACUAUAAACACCUGUACUCAAAUAAAGUAGAAAAUCUAGAAGAAAUGGAUAAAUUCCUGGACACAUACACCCUCCCAAGACUAAACCAGGAAGAAGUUGAAUCUCUGAAUAGAACAAUAAAAGGCUCUGAAAUUGAGGCAAUAGUUAAUAGCUUACCAACCAAAAAAGUCCAGGACCAAACGGAUUCAUAGCCGAAUUCUACCAGAGGUACAAGGAGGAGCUGGUACCAUUCCUUCUGAAACUAUUCCAAUCAAUAGGAAAAGAGGGAAUCCUCCCUAACUCAUUUUAUGAGGCCAGCAUCAUCCUGAUACUAAAGCCUGGCAGAGACAUAACAAAAAAAGAGAAUUUUAGACCAAUAUCCCUGAUGAACAUCGAUGCAAAAAAAAUCACAAGCAUUCUUAUACACCAACAACAGACAAACAGAGAGCCAAAUCAUGAGUGAACUCCCAUUCACAG
rnacentral:lncRNA from 1 species